CGCGGGGGCUUGGCGGGCCCAGGAGGGCCCCGGUUCCCGCCAGAGGGUCCCACAGGGCCCUGCGCCUGCCAAAGGGCUCCGCGGGGCCGUGGGAGCCGCUCCUGACGUGGCCGGCCCUGCUCGGGGCUGAGAGAGGCCCCGGCGUGAGGGGAUCCUGCCCGGGGACACCCAGGCCCGCCGGUGCCUCUGAGCCUCCCUGUUUCUUUGGGGCACUACACAAAUAACCCGGCGCUGCCCCACAGGCUGAGGGAGAAGGACAGCGGUAGUGAGGUAACAUGGACCCCGCAGCCCCGGGGCUGGACCGGGGGCUGGGGCGGACCCUCAGAGGCCGAAGGGACUGCCAGUGGUGACGGCAGGGAUCAAGCGUGGCCAAAAAACUCACGGCACUGUUAUGGGGAAGAAAGCCCCUUUGCCCAACAAACGUUUUACAGAAAACUCAGUUUCUCAUGACGAGCCCCUUUCACUGUCCGAUGGAACCCGAUUGUGUGACAAACGGAGUUUAUAAAUGGAACUGGGGAUUCCCGGGCGAGGGUCGUUGGCGGGGCAGCAGCUGCGGAGCUGAUGGGCCCCACACAGCGCAGCCCUGCCCGGGUUGGGGCCGGAGCCCGGGCCCCUCAGCGCGGCUGCACCCGGCGCGGUCACUGUCCCCACGGCCAUCGGUUACCGCUCCUCAGUUUCCCUCCAGCAGCGGGCGGGGUGGAGGGCACCGCACAGUCCUGCCGGGGGGGCUCAGGGGUCCCAGCCCCACGCCCACCCUGCUCCAGCCGGAGGUACGGGCUGGGGGAGGGAGGCACCUGUUACUGGUUCCCCCGCCUGUCCCGAGCGCCGUUCCAGUUUCCCUGCAUUGGGCAGGGCCGAGCUGCACCGCACAGCUGCAGCUGCCGGGGACGUUCAGGGUGCCGCCGGCCCCUCAUCCCGCACCUGUCCCGGCCAACAACUGCCCCAGACUGGGCCCCUCCGGGCUCCAUCCAGCUGACAUCCCCGGCUGUCCUCGGGGCCCCUCCAGCUGUCCCCAGCUCCCCCGACCCCCGGGUCCGGCCGAGGGGGGAGCCGGAGCAGCUGCGGGAAUAUCUGGGCCGGGGCUUCGGGGGUCGCAGCAGGCCCCGGAGCGGUGACAGUGACGGCGGCGGCGGCUCAUGCGCAGGCGGGUCCCCGCGUGUCCUCAGAUGAGCCCGAGCCCGCAGGGAGCCGCAGCGCGGGGGGCGGGGGCUGCGGCACUGCCGGUGGGGACACGGCACCGCGGGGACACGGCAGAUUCCCGGUACACACACGGGCACCGCGGGGACACGGCACCGCGGGGACACGGCACAUCCCCGCUACACACACCUGCACGUGUGGCACAGCCGUGUGAUGGCACGCACACCUGACACACCGUGCACUCGUGUGUGUGGCACACAUCCCUGUCCCAUCUGUGCACACACACACCUGUGCACGCACCUGCCUGAGCUAUGGCACCGCACACGCGCCACGCCAAACCCUCCCAGCCUUACACCCGCACACGGCAAGCCGCCAUGUGAUGGUACACACGCCUUACACACACUUUACACACACACACCCACAGGAGGCAGCCAUGUGAUGGCACAAAUGCCUUAUAGUCUCUUUACACUCACCUUACACACACCCACACACACAUUAUUCCUGUGCACACACCAGCCUGAGCUGUGACACAACGUGUCUAAGCCACGCCAAACCUUCUCCCUCCCCACCGUACUGGUACCUCACACUCCUCUGAGUCAGAUGAUCCCCUCGGGACAAGAUGGGGGACCCAACGUUCCCUGUUUGUGUCCCCGCCACCUUCACAUGUCCCUGUAGAGCUGCAGGGUGACCACCCCACCCCUCACCACAGUGGUGACACCACCUCCACUCUCCAGAGCCUCCCACGGCACCCCCAAGGAGCAAGUCAGGCCCAGGCUCGUUUUCAUUCACUUUUCCGCAUACUUUAUUUGUUACAAACAUACAAUUCUUUAAAUAUAGACUGUAAAACUCCAUUUGCAAAAAUCUGCUACGUCAGGAGUGCUCGGAGCAGGAGGAGUUCGUCGCGUCGGCCUCAUCUGCGCUAGUGGUAACACCCAGGACCUGCCUCCGGCCCCUGGAGCCGCCCCGCCGGCUGCAGGGAAGGGACACGGGGGCCCCGGUCCCCCCGGCUGCCUAAAGUGCAGGGACAUCAUGGCGAGCGCUCGGGGAGGGAGGUGGCGCUCCUGGGAUCUGCUGCUCUGAGGAGGAUCCGGUGCUCGGAGGAGGAUCCGACAUUCAUAGGAUCCAGUUGUCAGAGGAUCCAGCUCUCCGAGGAGGAUCUGCUGCUUGGAGAAGAACCCAGCUCAAAGAGCAGGGUCCAGUGUUUGGAGGAUCCAGCUCUCAGAGGAUCCAACUCAGAAGAUCCAGCUUUUGGAUACAAUUCUUGGAGGACCCAGCUGUCAGAGAAUCCAAGUCUGGGAGCGCCUGGCUCUUGGAGGAGGAUCCAGUGCUCUCCCCUCUGAUGCUGUCCCAGCCUCCUGGCUGGGCUGACCCGUGUGCUGGGGCCUGGUGAGCCACCUGUGCUGGACCAGCUGCCUCUCAGCUGCUGCUCCGAGGCCAGAGCCCCCUGGGGCCGCUGUUGUGGGGCUGAACCCCGGGGGCUGCGGGCUGUGCCGUGCUCCUUCCUGGCUGUCCUGCCUGGAUCUGGGUUCUCCUGCCAACACCCAACCCCGGCUCCGUGUGGCUUGGCUCCAGUGCCGCUGGCUCUACCGGCUCCGCGAGGAUAAGGAGGGCGAUGGCACCUGUGGCCUCGCCCUGCAGGAACAUCUGGGAGCAUCCAUGAAGGCAGCUGGGAUUUCCCACUGGGAACACCUACUGAGCUCCGUGGUGCACCACCCUGCGUACCCCCAGUGCUCUCUCAGCUGCUUUUUUUUAUCUUUUCCAGUUUUUUUGCGUUUUUUUUUCCACUUUUUGCUUUUUUAUGAGAGGCCAGUGAGGGGUUGGGUUGGUUUUGUCACCAACAUGAGGAGCCGCCACUGGCACUGCCCCCCAAACCAUCCUACACUGCUCCCGAAUCGCCUGGAAACAGGCAGGAGAAUCCGAAUUUUCUUCCAUGUUUUUUAGGGCAAAACGAAUUGAAGCUGUUUGCACUUGCCCUGGAAGCACCACCCACUCCAGACCCAGCCAUUUGGGGUAUUUUCCACUGGGUUUUGGGGCAUUGUACAAGACUUCCAAUAUUCUGUCUGUACAGCCAUCAUCGCGUUCUCCAUCAACCCCUCUGGGGCAGCAAAGCUGGAAGUACCAGGAAUUUGGGAUAUUUUUCCCCUAUUUGUGGUUUAAAAAUAAAAUAAAAAAAAAAAAAAAGCAAUUUGCCCAUUUUCUACAGAAUUCAACCCAAAACCCAACCGAAUCUGAGCUAUGUACACACAGCCAUGUCUAUACACACAGAGAUGGGAAGGGGCUUCAGGGGAGAUGCCGGCGUUGUCCUGCUUUCCUGGGAAACACCCAACGGCUCCUGGGGGACUCCAAGAGAAAAACAACCCCAAACUUCUCCCCCAAGAUCCCCUCCCCCAUGGCAGCCCCCCUGGCCGCUCCCCUUGUUUCAGCUGGCACCUCAAAUCCCCUAUUUUCCCUAUUUUAUCUCAUUUUGUCUGUUUUUUCUGCUGUCUUCCCCCGACGUGCUCUGCUCUUCCCACCCAAAUGGAGCUGUGGGAGGUUCUGUCCAUGGAUCCAGCACUUCUCUGGCCAGGAAAGACUCCCUGAGCCAACGCCGGGAGCUUUUUUGGGUUU